rnacentral:rRNA from 1 species
GUCGACCGCAAGCGGCAGGCUUAAUACAUGCAGUCGUGGGGCAGCAUGAAUGUAGCAAUACAUUUGAUGGCGACCGGCAAACGGGUGCGGAACACGUACACAACCUUCCUAUAAGUGGGGAAUAGCCCAGAGAAAUUUGGAUUAAUACCCCGUAACAUAACGAUGUGGCAUCACAUUGUUAUUAUAGCUUCGGCGCUUAUUGAUGGGUGUGCGGCUGAUUAGAUAGUUGGCGGGGUAACGGCCCACCAAGUCUACGAUCAGUAGCUGAUGUGAGAGCAUGAUCAGCCACACGGGCACUGAGACACGGGCCCGACUCCUACGGGAGGCAGCAGUAAGGAAUAUUGGUCAAUGGACGCAAGUCUGAACCAGCCAUGCCGCGUGAAGGAUUAAGGUCCUCUGGAUUGUAAACUUCUUUUAUCUGGGACGAAAAAAGGCGAUUCUUCGUCACUUGACGGUACCAGAUGAAUAAGCACCGGCUAACUCCGUGCCAGCAGCCGCGGUAAUACGGAGGGUGCAAGCGUUAUCCGGAUUCACUGGGUUUAAAGGGUGCGUAGGCGGGCAGGUAAGUCAGUGGUGAAAUCCUGGAGCUUAACUCCAGAACUGCCAUUGAUACUAUCUGUCUUGAAUAUUGUGGAGGUAAGCGGAAUAUGUCAUGUAGCGGUGAAAUGCUUAGAUAUGACAUAGAACACCUAUUGCGAAGGCAGCUUACUACGCAUAUAUUGACGCUGAGGCACGAAAGCGUGGGGAUCAAACAGGAUUAGAUACCCUGGCAGUCCACGCCCUAAACGAUGGAUACUCGACAUACGCGAUACACUGUGUGUGUCUGAGCGAAAGCAUUAAGUAUCCCACCUGGG